AUUCCCCUAGUAACUGCGAGUGAAGCGGGAAAAGCUCAAAUUUAAAAUCUGGCGGUUCUGCCGUCCGAGUUGUAAUCUAGAGAAGCAUUAUCCGCGUUGGACCGUGUACAAGUCUCCUGGAACGGAGCGUCAUAGAGGGUGAGAAUCCCGUCUUUGACACGGACUACCAAGGCUUUGUGAUGUGCUCUCAAAGAGUCGAGUUGUUUGGGAAUGCAGCUCUAAAUGGGUGGUAAAUUCCAUCUAAAGCUAAAUAUUGGCGAGAGACCGAUAGCGAACAAGUACCGUGAGGGAAAGAUGAAAAGAACUUUGGAAAGAGAGUUAAACAGUACGUGAAAUUGUUGAAAGGGAAACGCUUGAAGUCAGUCGCGUUGGCCGGGGAUCAGCCUUGCUCUUUUGCAUGGUGUACUUCCUGGUKAAUGGGUCAGCAUCAAUUUUGACCGAUGGAUAAAGGUUAGGGGAAUGUGGCAUCUCCGGAUGUGUUAUAGCCCUUGGUUGCAUACAUCGGUUGGGAUUGAGGAACUCAGCACGCCGCAAGGCCGGGUCUUUGACCACGUACGUGCUUAGGAUGCUGGCAUAAUGGCUUUAAUCGACCCGUCUUGAAACACGGACCAAGGAGUCCAACAUACCCGCGAGUGUUUGGGUGGAAAACCCGGACGCGUAAUGAAAGUGAAAGUUGAGAUCCCUGUCGUGGGGAGCAUCGACGCCCGGAUCAGACCUUUUGUGACGAUUCCGCGGUAGAGCGUGUAUGCUGGGACCCGAAAGAUGGUGAACUAUGCCUGAAUAGGGUGAAGCCAGAGGAAACUCUGGUGGAGGCUCGUAGCGAUUCUGACGUGCAAAUCGAUCGUCGAAUUUGGGUAUAGGG
rnacentral:rRNA from 1 species